UGGCAGGUGCUAAGAUACGGGAUGUAGAACUAAGACUGAAGAGGAUCCUAAAGGGAGCGGGAAAGAAUCCAUUGAUCAUCCUUCAUGUAGGAACAAAUGAUACGGCUAGAUUCUCGCUGGAACUAAUCAAAGGAUACUAUGUCAGGUUGGGGAGAACGCUUAAGGAAAUUUGAGGAUUUGAGUCACUGUUUUCCAUUCCUCAUGAUCCUUUGUGUGGGAAAAAAACCAACAUUUUGCUUCUCUACUUAGGGUGUCAAGCCAUCCAGUGGUGCGGGUUUUUUUGCUCAUUUUCCAUCAGUUUUCAGGUUCGACUACAUGGGUCUUCAGUGCCUGCUACAGGUCCUAAGGGAACAGCUACAGCGUACAGUCAGAGCUUUUUACACCUCUCUCAGAAAUUGACAAACAUCUGAUGCACAUAGGUCUCAUUUGGGAAAUGCUUAAUAACAGAAAUAUUUGUUCCAUAGGAAGAAUACCAGCCAUUCCUCUUCCCUUUGUCCAUUUCCUUCACUGACCUUCUCCAGUGCUUCUGUCUAUUCCCUUUACUGCAGCUUUCCCCUGGGACUCCGUCCAUUCCUCACUAUAGUAUUUACUUGCCUUCUACUGUUUUUCCUCAGGGAGAAACUGAUCCUCACUUUCUUCACUCCACAUGACUUCCUGAUUCCAUUGCUCUCCUCCGGAGACAGCCAUUCCCACUUGUCUUCAUCUAAAUUCCCACCUUUUAGACCUUUCAUGGCUAAAUUCUUCCCUGUGACUUCCACACCCAGCAUCAUCAGGCCAUGCCAAAAUAAUCUUCAAGCUCUGAUGCAAUGUCAUAACAUCAUUAUGUUUCACCAUUAUGACAUCUGGUUUCAUGACAAGUGAAAUGUCCUGGCGGCUCCACCUAAUGAAACUGCGACAAUGCAACAAAUCUUGAGACAGAUGGAAACCCGUUUUCUUUGAGGUCUCCCUUCAUGGUAACUAGCCUGGGAAAAUAAACUGCCCAGUCCAAAUUUCAGAGAACCAUCUGGUGAUCAAAGAGGAAGAAAACACGCUGCUGGUUUCGUCCAUAAGGCUGGUAAAUCCAGGACAUCUCCCCUGUGUAGAUCAACUCAGAGCUCCGAUCCAAGAUGUCAUCUCCCUAGGGGGAACAGAGAACGAAGCAGAGGUUUUCAGUUCCCAUUGCUGCAGCAAAUGAAGAACAAUUCCUAUGCAGCAUUAGUGAUGUAUUUUCUUUGGUCUAUCUUUCACUCAUCACCAUGGUCUCAUCAGAGCUUGCUGAGCCCCGCACACUUUCACAGAGCAGGCUGCAAGCAUCACAGAAGUGACACACCAGGUCCUGAGGGCCAGUUCCAAGAGCUGCAGGGGUGGGCCAGUGCCUCUGUAUUUGAUGAAAGUUGUCAAUCAUCAGCUUCCCAGCUAUGCCAUAGGUUUUGUCCAGAAAAUAUAUAAAGGAUGGAGUCAUCUCUUCCUUUCACCAGUUUACCCCAGCAUCACUCCAUUAACUUCAAUGGCAUUUCUCUUCAUUUAAAUUGAUGUGAGAAAGAAGAGCAUCCAGGACCGGUUACAUCAGUGAGAAUUUUCUUGCUAAAAAUGCAUGUUAAUGACUCCAUGUAGGAUGAGCUUUAUAAAACUGCCCUGCUUUGCCCUAGUUCAACAAUCCCAACUACAAAUGGAGAUUUUGAUAAUAGAACAAUGGGAAAAACAAAGGAUAUUAAAAAUGUCCCAGAUGAACACAUGACAUGGCAAACCACAGUAACCUGCAAGAUCUGG